AGAGUUUGAUCCUGGCUCAGGAUGAACGCUAGCGGCAGGCCUAACACAUGCAAGUCGAGGGGCAGCACGGUGUAGCAAUACACUGGUGGCGACCGGCGCACGGGUGCGUAACGCGUAUGCAACCUACCCAUAACAGGGGGAUAACACUGAGAAAUUGGUACUAAUACCCCAUAACAUCAGGACCGGCAUCGGUUCUGGUUGAAAACUCCGGUGGUUAUGGAUGGGCAUGCGUUGUAUUAGCUGGUUGGUGAGGUAACGGCUCACCAAGGCAACGAUACAUAGGGGGACUGAGAGGUUAACCCCCCACAUUGGUACUGAGACACGGACCAAACUCCUACGGGAGGCAGCAGUGAGGAAUAUUGGUCAAUGGGCGUAAGCCUGAACCAGCCAAGUCGCGUGAGGGAUGAAGGUUCUAUGGAUCGUAAACCUCUUUUAUAAGGGAAUAAAGUGCGGGACGUGUCCCGUUUUGUAUGUACCUUAUGAAUAAGGAUCGGCUAACUCCGUGCCAGCAGCCGCGGUAAUACGGAGGAUCCGAGCGUUAUCCGGAUUUAUUGGGUUUAAAGGGAGCGUAGAUGGAUGUUUAAGUCAGUUGUGAAAGUUUGCGGCUCAACCGUAAAAUUGCAGUUGAUACUGGAUAUCUUGAGUGCAGUUGAGGCAGGCGGAAUUCGUGGUGUAGCGGUGAAAUGCUUAGAUAUCACGAAGAACUCCGAUUGCGAAGGCAGCUUACUGGACUGUAACUGACGCUGAUGCUCGAAAGUGUGGGUAUCAAACAGGAUUAGAUACCCUGGUAGUCCACACAGUAAACGAUGAAUACUCGCUGUUUGCGAUAUAAUGCAAGCGGCCAAGCGAAAGCAUUAAGUAUUCCACCUGGGGAGUACGCCGGCAACGGUGAAACUCAAAGGAAUUGAC
rnacentral:rRNA from 1 species